GGAUACUGCAGCUGAAGGGUGACCUGCACUGUGUGACAAAACCAGCUGGAAGAGCAGCAUUCUGAUGCAACAGGAUGUGUAUACAUUGUACAAAACAGGUUCACUUGGACGUCAUGGCUGAUUCAAGACUCGUGUACCACCUGUGAUGUGCCUGACUGCAUCCAGGGCAGUUUUUGUAUACCUUUGUCAAACAGCCACCAUUUUGGCUGCUAGCAAGUUUGUUCUUAACCAAAACUGGAAAAAACUGCAUAGCUUGCACA